CCUACGGGGGCUGCAGUGGGGAAUAUUGGACAAUGGGCGAAAGCCUGAUCCAGCCAUGCCGCGUGUGUGAAGAAGGCCUUCGGGUUGUAAAGCACUUUCAGUGGGGAAGAAAGCCUUGGGGCUAAUACCCUCGAGGAAGGACAUCACCCACAGAAGAAGCACCGGCUAACUCCGUGCCAGCAGCCGCGGUAAUACGGAGGGUGCGAGCGUUAAUCGGAAUUACUGGGCGUAAAGCGCGCGUAGGCGGUCUGAUAAGCCGGUUGUGAAAGCCCCGGGCUCAACCUGGGAACGGCAUCCGGAACUGUCAGGCUAGAGUGCAGGAGAGGAAGGUAGAAUUCCCGGUGUAGCGGUGAAAUGCGUAGAGAUCGGGAGGAAUACCAGUGGCGAAGGCGGCCUUCUGGACUGACACUGACGCUGAGGUGCGAAAGCGUGGGUAGCAAACAGGAUUAGAUACCCUAGUAUC
rnacentral:rRNA from 1 species